rnacentral:lncRNA from 1 species
GAAUGACAAGUGAUAACCAAAAUAACAGACAAGCAUAAUAAUAUAAAGAGGAAUGGAAUGGAAUGGAUGGCGCAAAAAGAAAGAUAAAAGGAGGAAGGGACGAAGAAAGCUUAUGAAAGAAGAAGGGUUGUCAUGCCACUUGGCGAAAGGAGACACUCCAAGUUGAGUGGUGAAAGAGUCGCCACUUGAAGUACUCACACACUUAAGAUAAGACACACUAUGAGAACUCUCAAGUCUCACAAAAACACUCCUGCUGAGUUUCUU